rnacentral:rRNA from 1 species
UAGAGUUUGAUCCUGGCUCAGAUUGAACGCUGGCGGCAUGCCUUACACAUGCAAGUCGAACGGCAGCACGGGUACUUGUACCUGGUGGCGAGUGGCGAACGGGUGAGUAAUACAUCGGAACGUACCUUAUCGUGGGGGAUAACGCAGCGAAAGCUGUGCUAAUACCGCAUACGCCCUGAGGGGGAAAGCGGGGGAUCGAAAGACCUCGCGCGAUUAGAGCGGCCGAUGCCUGAUUAGCUUGUUGGUGGGGUAAAAGCCCACCAAGGCGACGAUCAGUAGCUGGUCUGAGAGGACGAUCAGCCACACUGGGACUGAGACACGGCCCAGACUCCUACGGGAGGCAGCAGUGGGGAAUUUUGGACAAUGGGGGAAACCCUGAUCCAGCAAUGCCGCGUGAGUGAAGAAGGCCUUCGGGUUGUAAAGCUCUUUUGUCAGGGAAGAAACACCGGCUCUAACAUAGUCCGGGAAUGACGGUACCUGAAGAAUAAGCACCGGCUAAUCUACGUGCCAGCCGCCGCGGUAAUACA